AGACCGACUGGUUUCCCCACUGGGUGUGGUGUAUAAAAUAGAGAAGCACAACCUCCACAGUACUUGUUGUGCAGCUCAAUCUUUGAAUGAGCCUUUGCUGCUCUUCGGCAAGAAAAAAUCCCAAGGCCAUGAAUCAGGUCCAAAUUGAAUACUGUGCGGGAUGAGGUUACUCGUCCCGCUACAGGGCGCUGGAAGGAGCCCUCCGGCAGGUCCCUGGUGUGUCGGUGACGGGAUUCAAGGGGAGACCAAACAGUUUUGAGGUUGUACUGAACGGUCAGACGAUCUACUCCAAGCUGAAAACACACUCAUUUCCUGAGAGUGCACAGGUGGUAGCGAUGGUGAAGAAGAUUAUCCAGGAAAAGUAAAGCCUCAGAGGAUCCAAUAAGAUCUGUAUUCACACUGCAAGAGAACCACAUGGUUUGUCUUCUGCGGUUCAGAGCUCAGUCUCAUCACGUCUGCUUAACAGAAGAUCACAAUUCAGUCAAACAUCAAAACGUCAUUCAGCUUAACUGUGGACCAUGAUCAACCGAGAAGAUGAGCCCAUGGGUUCUCUUCAUGGUGAAUACCGACACGGACCAGGAGAUGAUGGGAGCCACACUGAGGAGCCGGGCACUGACUUCUGUUUAUGACUGUAUACACUGAAAACACGUGGUGUGUACAUGAUGCAGGGCCAGAAGCUUUUCAGUCGACAGGAGCCUGAGGAUGUGCUCUCAUCGUGUCUGUCUCUACUCACACGUAACAUUUCUUUAGCUGUCUCAAUCAAACACACAUAUUCCAUCAUCCAUUUUUUCUGUUCAUAUAAAUCUAAAGUCUCCGAGCUGAUGAUCCGAUUAAAAGAAAAGUUUGACAUUUUUAGAAAAAUUUGUUUUUGCCUUCUCGUCGCAACAUGAGAAGGUUGAUUCCACUGUCAUUUCUUGAAUUUAAAGCCAAUGUUUACUUCCAUUUAUCUAAAGCUCACAAACAUGUUGCAUCCUAUUUUUUAAAAUGACAAUUUGCCGUUUCAGUGGGGGCAUUUCUUGACCAACACUCAAUAAGCCUCCUGCACAUUGGUUCAUAGUUUUACAUUUAGCUUUUUGCAUGGAUUAAACAUACAAGAUACAACAUGUUAUUUAGCAUGGACAAAGUCAGGGUAGCUGUUUCCCUUUGUUUCCAGUCUUUAUGCUAAGCUAAGCUAAACAGUCUCUACAUAGUAUUUAUUUCACAUGACAGUGGUGACCUCUCAUCUUGCUAACUCUUGGGAAGAAAGAAAAGAGUAUUCAAGAACAUUUUUCAAACAUUUUAAUUUGUGUUAUAUUGCAAACAGGAAAUGCUCUUCAAAUUUCAGAUUCUUAAAUUAUUUGGCAUUUUUCAUAACACCUUGAAUCACUUAGACCGAUCAUCUGUGGACGUCUUUAUUCCUUAGGAAGUUUUCAUCUUAAUGUACCUUGCAUAUUUUCCUUUGAUGGGACAGCUACUGCAAAUGUUCUGCCUUCUCUGUAACUGAUGAAUAUUCAAUCAAUGACAAAUGAUUUAAUUGUAAUUUCAAACACUGUGAUGCUGGAACUCAGGCGGAGCUGGAACUGUUCUAGGCUCUACAAUGCAAUACAAUAUAAAACGUUUACUUCACAAAAGUAUCAAACGUCAUCUGGGCAAAAAUGCACCGCAUAUUCUAAAUGGAAUAUAUUAAUUAAAAUAAUCCAAAUUCAGCAAAAAGGAUAGGUAUUUUACAAUUUCACUUUAAAAUGUUACUUUAGUUAAAGAAAAUAUUUCUUUAGUUAACUUUAUCCUCAACAACUCUACUUCCAGCAUCCUUGAAACAUAUCACAUAUCAAACAGUUUCUAAAUAAUAAAUCAUCACUUUCAACAACAAUUCAUAAAAUUUUCAACAAAUGCAAUAAAAUACUAUGGAUUCA